CCUAAAACCCUACAACCUCAAAACCUUCAUUUCAUUUUUCACCUCCUUCACUUUCAAAACCUUCCGCAACAAAAAAAAAAAACUCCAUUUCUCUACCAAUGACAAGCACAAUUCUUAGAAGAUCCUCUUCCAUAUUCUCACGGCGUUUCUUCGUCGCCGCCGUCGAGCAACUUCCGAUCCGUCACCGUAGCCUCGCCUUGUUGUCCUCCGCCGUCAACGGCAAAGUAGGAGAGAGGCUGUUUCAUGCGAAAUCUGGACCGUUGAACUUCCACUCGUCGCUGGUAUCUCGUGGUGCGCAGCUUGCUGUGGAUUACGAUCACGCGGAACACGAUGAUGGUUGCGGUGUCAAUGGUGAUGAAGGAUUGGAGAUCGCGAAGCUUGGGAUUUCUAAGGAGAUCGUGAAUGCGUUGGGGAAGAAAGGGAUCGCAAAGCUUUUUCCCAUUCAGAGAGCUGUGCUGGAACCUGCAAUGCAAGGGAGGGAUAUGAUUGGUCGAGCUAGAACAGGAACUGGGAAAACUCUUGCUUUUGGGAUACCCAUCUUGGAUAAGAUUAUUAAGUUUAAUGCUAAGAAUGGGAAAAGAAGGGAUCCUUUGGCUUUGGUGUUAGCACCAACCAGAGAACUUGCACGACAAGUUGAAAAGGAAUUCAAGGAUGCUGCACCUAACUUGGAAAUAAUUAGCCUUUAUGGGGGUAUGCCUAUUCAGCAACAAAUUAGCAAACUUGGUAGUGGCGUAGAUAUUGUAGUUGGCACACCUGGACGUGUUAUUGAUCUUCUCAAAAGGGGUUCACUGAAACUGAAGGAUGUUAAUUAUGUUGUUCUUGAUGAAGCUGAUCAGAUGCUUCAAGUAGGAUUUCAAGAAGCGGUGGAGACUAUCUUGCAGAAGUUGCCUUCAAAGCGUCAAACUCUUAUGUUCUCGGCAACAAUGCCUUCUUGGAUAAAGAAUCUUACGCGCAAUUACCUAAAUAAACCCUUAACAAUUGAUCUUGUUGGAGAUUCUGAUCAGAAGUUGGCAGAUGGAAUUUCACUGUACUCCAUUGCAUCUAAUGCCUAUUCUAAAGCAGGAAUUCUUGUACCUCUUAUAACAGAACAUGCUAAAGGAGGAAAAUGUAUUGUUUUCACUCAAACCAAACGUGAUGCUGAUCGUCUAUCACAUAUAAUGGCAAAAAGCAUUAAAUGCGAGGCCUUGCAUGGAGAUAUUUCACAAACUCAGAGAGAAAGAACUCUUACUGGCUUUAGAAACAGCUAUUUCAAUGUUUUGGUGGCAACUGAUGUUGCUUCCCGCGGGCUUGAUAUACCAAAUGUUGAUCUUGUAAUACAUUAUGAACUUCCAAAUAAUUCAGAGAUAUUUGUUCAUCGAUCUGGACGAACAGGACGUGCCGGUAAGAAAGGAACUGCUAUUCUUGUCCACACAGAAAAUCAAUCCAGGGAUGUAAAGACAAUUGAGAGAGAUGUUGGAUGUAAAUUCAAAGAGUUACCAAAGAUUGCUGUUGAAAGUGGAUCAGCAGACAUGUUUGGCAGCACGAGUAGUGGUCGAUACGGCUCUUCGGGAGGUAGGGAUCGUCGAUCAAGUAGUAGUUCUGGAUCUGGCCGAAAUGGCUACGGGAAAUCCAGUGGUUUUGGUGGCUCUAGUUCAAGGAAGUCAGGAGGGGGAUUUGAGGAAUUUUCUGGUAAAACAGAUAGAUACGGUGGUGGAGGAUUUAGCAGUUCAAGUCGUUCUGGUGGCUUUGGAAAGUUCGGCUCAGGUAAAUCUGGGAGAUAUGGUGACAGAAAUUGAAGCCAGACCUUGGGAGAUCCAAGGCUGUGACUUGGCUGCUUUUGGGGAUAAGCCAAAUAAUAACAGUUAAAAUAGAGGAAGCCCAUUUUAACUACUGGUAAGUGCCGCCAUCUUCACUUCUUGAUGGUUUAAUUUUGGCUUGUUGCUUAGUUUAGUUUAGUGUCCUCAUAUAGUAUAACUUCAAGCAUCUGGCCUAAUCCCCUUAUCACUUGAUAUGGAGAAAGUUACGGCACGUGAAUGAUACAGUCUGCUUUGAGGCAUGCAAUUUUUCUUUCCUGGACAGUCUUCAGCUCAUCCUGAAUUCCAUCCAUAGGAAAGUGAGUAGGAGUGCUGCAUGUUCCAGCCCGUACCAUGCAUUUUUUUGGAUUAGUUUCAUGCGAUCUCUUAUAUGCUGUGUGGUAGAUUAUGGUUCUGAACAUGCACCGGGUGUGCCUUCGGCCUUGGCAAUCUUGAAGAGCAACCUUUAUAGAGCAACGGCGAUAUGUUUCAUUUGGUAGUUGUUCCUUGAAAUGGGCAGAGAUACAACAUUUUAGAAAUAGGCCACUUUUCCCAACAAAUUUGAGUGCACUUGUAACAAGAUCAGCUUCCUCAUCCACAAUGCAAGUUCUGAAGUAGAACUAUCUGAAGCAUCGCAAAGAUAAAACCGUAUCUACAAAGGCGAUGGUAAAGACAUUACUACAACCUCAGUAGGGGUGUGCAAAUGGAUUAUCCAAACUGAAUAGUUGGGAAAGUUAUGGGUACAGUUUGGAUCAAAAAUCCACUUUCACAAAAAAAAAAGGAUUUUUUUUAAAACCGGUUUGAUAUAGUUCAGUCCGGUUCAUGCUACCUGAAUCGGAUUUUGACCUGAAUCGGUUUUUUUUGCCUGAACCGGAAUUUUUUGCACAAUUUCUCAAUUUCAUUUUCAAUUCAAUUUCACAAUUUAGGGUUUAUAACCGAUUUAAUUUGGGGAUUUUCCUCAUCACAAAGGGAAAAAAAAUAGCUUUCAUAAUGGAAUUUGCUGAGAAUCUGGUUUUGAAAUUGAUGGAAGAUCCAAAUAAAAGGGAUCGUAGAUUCAGGGAACAUGUGUAUAAGACGAAUGAUAGGUGCGCGAAGAUGAAGGAGAUGUGGAGUUACCCUAUGCAACCUUAAGGGUUCUGGACAUUUGAAUGCCAUUAGCAAUAGCGUUUGGAGAAGAAAUUAUGAAGAAAUCGUGUUUGUGAGUGUGAAGGGUCAAAUGGUAACCGAGACCCGUUUUAAUAUUUUUUUUUUUUAUAAAUGGAUUGGAUCAGGUCAAAUGAAAGUGGAUUGGGCUUUUCUAGUUUGGUUCACCAGAUUUAUAGUUUGGGUCAGUUAAUCCAGUUUUUAUGUAGACCCUUAAACCUCAGUCUAAUAAAUUAAGGCUAAAAGAUGGCUUUGGUCCCUGCAAA